rnacentral:rRNA from 1 species
CUACCCGCUGAACUUAAGCAUAUCAAAUAAGGCGGG